CCGCGAUGAUUACCGAAUCACAGCGAUACACGAUGAAGCACUCAUAGUUACUCUGAGCGG
rnacentral:snoRNA from 11 species